AGGCCUUUGGGCUGUAAACCUCUUUUCUCAAGGAAGAAGAUCUGACGGUACUUGAGGAAUAAGCCACGGCUAAUUCCGUGCCAGCAGCCGCGGUAAUACGGGAGUGGCAAGCGUUAUCCGGAAUUAUUGGGCGUAAAGCGUCCGCAGGCGGCCGUUUAAGUCUGUUGUUAAAUCGUGGAGCUCAACUCCAUCACGGCAAUGGAAACUGUUCGGCUUGAGUAUGGUAGGGGCAGAGGGAAUUUCCGGUGUAGCGGUGAAAUGCGUAGAUAUCGGGAAGAACACCAGUGGCGAAAGCGCUCUGCUGGGCCAUUACUGACGCUCAUGGACGAAAGCCAGGGGAGCGAAAGGGAUUAGAUACCCCUGUAGUCCUGGCCGUAAACGAUGAACACUAGAUGUUGGGGGAAUCGACCCCCUCGGUGUCGUAGCUAACGCGUUAAGUGUUCCGCCUGGGGAGUACGCACGCAAGUGUGAAACUCAAAGGAAUUGACGGGGGCCCGCACAAGCGGUGGAGUAUGUGGUUUAAUUCGAUGCAACGCGAAGAACCUUACCAAGGCUUGACAUCCUGCGAAUCUCCGAGAAAUUGGAGAGUGCCUUCGGGAACGCAGUGACAGGUGGUGCAUGGCUGUCGUCAGCUCGUGUCGUGAGAUGUUGGGUUAAGUCCCGCAACGAGCGCAACCCACGUUUUUAGUUGCCAGCAUUCAGUUGGGCACUCUAGAAAGACUGCCGGUGACAAACCGGAGGAAGGUGUGGACGACGUCAAGUCAUCAUGCCCUUACGCCUUGGGCUACACACGUACUACAAUGCUGCGGACAAAGAGUAGCGAUCUUGCAAAAGUUAGCUAAUCUCGUAAACCGUGGCUCAGUUCAGAUCGUAGGCUGCAACUCGCCUACGUGAAGGAGGAAUCGCUAGUAAUCG
rnacentral:rRNA from 1 species